GAUCCGCCUAUUGUUAGCCUGCUAGUAGUAGAAAGUUGUUAGUCAUUUUUAGAUGCUCGUAGCAGCGCUAAGGGUGCCUCUGCGCCUCUGGGGGUAAAUUGUUAGCCGCUACAGUAACAACUAACAAGGGCAGCCUUUGUUAUCUACUAUAGUAGCAACUAACAAGGGCCGUAUAGUUUUUAUUUUCCUAAUAAAUAAAUCGAGACUUGGAAAACUAACUUUAUUCCCAUUUUCUGGUUAUUGACGAAAUGUGGACUUCUUUAAUAAACAACUAAAUUACUCAUAUUUUACUGCGGCCAAAAUAUUUAUGAAUAAUACUAAAAUAGGGAUUAAAGAUGAGAUUUUGUGUAGAUAAUCAAGGCCCUAUCCUAUUUAUAGGAGGAAACUGUGCGCUGUAUGCAUAUAUAUUAUUAUUUAAUGAACUUUCUUUUCAGAGGUCCCUAUAUUCUAAUUUCGACAAUUAUAACAUAUACACUGUACAUUGCAUAAACUUCUCUCGAACAGUUCUGAGUCGCUUUUUGAUCCACCAUUUUAUAAUUUGCUCCCUUUACUAUAGGAGUAUUCUUCCCGUCGUAAUGGAUGUUUUGGUACAUUAAAAUCUGAUCUUAUCUAUUAUCUAUUCCAAUCGUAUUUCUGACUAUAGCAGUAACGAUUUGUAGGCCUACUAAUUUAAUAAAAAUAAAAAACCCCACGUAAUUUGUCCUUUCGUUUUAAAUGUAUCGAACGUUAAAUUGUUAUUCGUAAUAUCUCUUUUCAAUGCUAAAGUAUGAAAACAUUUGUUAGCUAUGUAAAUUCAUCAAAUCAAAAGUUCUAGAAAGAUUUGGAAUAUUCUGAUUCUGUAACAAAUGUAAAUUUAUAUUUCGGUCAUUUUUGAAAAUAGUGAGUUACUAGGGAUUCGUCGUGGCCUAGAUUCCGAUUUGACUUUUAAUGGAGUCAAAGAACACGUUGAUUUGUUUCGCGACCUAUACAUAGGCCUACAGUAUUUGUUUAAAGACCCAAACGAAGUUGAUUUGGAGAAAAAUAAAGCUCCUUAAGCAGAGAAAAGACACAAGAAUGUAUUGAUGUUGGAUGUUUAAGUUGAAAAAAUCAAACUAAAGACUUCAGCAGAAGUGAAAUGAUCCCAAAAAGAACUUAAGGGGGGAAUAUGUUUCAAGGAAUAAUGAAAUCUAGAGAAGAAUACCAGAAGAAAAAUGGUACAGGAGAAAUUUCAAGAUCUAGAUUGGUAAAAUGCUUUCUAGAUGGAGCUUAGUAAAUGCAUUUCAAGAUUGAGCUUAUUAAAAAUUGAAUUCUAGAAAUAGAAACCUUUGAUUACCGUGCACCACAAGCUUUUGCUUACGAUAAUGUCGAAUCAUUUUGGUGUUGCAGAAAUUGCAAAAGAGUGGAUGGCGUCAUAUCUACAAAACAGGAGUUUUCGUGUAAAAGUUAAGAAUGAUUUCUCCGAUGUAAAACAUGUCAAUUUUUCAGUUCCACAAGGUAGCAUCAAUGGUCCGAUCUACUUUAUCUGCUAUACCAGUACACUAGCAUCCUGCAUCAGACACAAUCAAACAUUAGUUGGCUACGCCUAUGACCACAGCUUGUAUGACAGUUUUAAAGCCGGAGAUCUUGAUGCAGAAUCUCAUAUUGCUUCCCGCGUAUCAGAGUCCUUAGACGACGUUAAAAUCUGGAUGCUGCAUAAUCGACUAAAGAUGAAUGACGAAAAAACUGAGGUUAUUAUCUUCGGUGGUAGCCGUCAGCUCCACAAGUCUACCAUCCACGAAUUAAGAGUUGGGGAUUCUGUAGUUGGGUCUUCAUCCCGUGUUAAAUUCCUGGGGAUGCAUUUGGACGAAAACUUAAACUUAAAGAGUCAUUUUGCCCAGAAGACUUGUUGUGCUGCUUCGGCAAUGUUCAACUUGCGGAAAUUGAGACCGUUUCUUUCGCGAGAAUCAUCUCUUCAAAUUGCCAGUUCUUUAGUUUUGUCCCAUAUGGAUUACAGAAAUAGUCUACUCUGUGGUUUGCCAGCAACUACUCUUCAACCUCUCCAACGAAUUCAAAAUUUUACUGCAAAGCUAAUUCUUGGUGUUAAUUACGGCCAUAGCUCGACUGGUGCUCUGAAAGAACUUCAUAUAUUGCCAGUUGAAGUCUGAUGCCAAUUCAAGCUACUGGUACUGGUGUAUAAGUGUCUCCACAACCUUGCCCCAGUCUACCUUUCUGAAUUAUUGCAGUCCUAAACUUCAUCAUGCAAUACGAGAUCGUCAUCAAAAAACAUGUUAUUUAUACCCAAGACAAAAAGUAAAACAUUUGCAGACAGAUCGUUCAGUGUGCUAGGACCGCGGCUCUGGAAUACCCUUCCAGAAAGUGUGAAACAAUGUCAAACUGUAACGGAUUUUAAAAAGAAACUCAAAACAUAUUUUUUUCGUAAAGCAUUUCAUUUAAGGUUUGUGUAAGACUUUGUGAAGCGCCAUUGAAUGCAUGGCAGUAAUGUGCACUAUAUCAAAUGUAAUAUGUUAUGUUAUGUUAUGUUAUUACAUCGUUUCUUCACAGACAGUUGAGUUGAUGAUAAUGUAACAAUAAAGAACUUUUUUCAUUGGAUCUUAUUAUUUCAUUACAAAUUUUGAAUGUAAAUACAUGUAACAUUUUGUUUUAUAUUUUGAAAUAUUGUAUAUAUUAUGCAAAAUUGUGAUAAUUGUUUAUUAAUUUUGAAAUAUCUAGACUGUGA